AUGGAGGGGCAGGGAUGCAUCACGCCUGCCAGCCUGGGCCGGAUGCUUGGCAGGCUCGGCGCCGAGCGGGGCGCCGGCGACUGCCGCGCCAUGAUCUGCCGGUUCGACCUUGACGGCGACGGCGUGCUCAGCUUGGACGAGUUCAAAAUCAUGAUGAGCUAG
rnacentral:rRNA from 1 species